UUUUUUUUUUUUUUUUGGUUUGAGGUUUUUCUUAGUUGGUUGAAGUUAAAUACUAUGGAUUUCUAAGAAUAAUCCAAGGAACUCCUACCGAUUCAGAAUGUCCUAGGGUGUCAUAUGAGGGUGGCAUAUGGUUCUUUUCAACUAAAAUAGUCAUAUGUCUACUACUGGGAUAAGUCCAUUCCAGUACAGUCCUUAUAUUAUUUUAAUGAUUUAACCCAUCCUGCGACACAUCCAAUCACCAUAAAAGUGCAAUGUCAAUUUGUUCCAAUUUUUCCCAUUUAGGUGUUUAAUUGUACAAAAAAAAUCCACAAACUCAUAAAAAAUCCUAAAAAGUUUAGACACUCAAGAUGUCAUUAUCCCAUACAUAAAUCAUAACUCAUCCAGUGUCACUUCACCUUGGCCAAUAGCUUUAAACAAAUGGCCAGGGAAAGCGGCCAAGUAUAAAAGAAGAGAAUUGGUUUAUGAGAGCAAAUUAAAAAAAUCUACAAAAAGCAGAAGGAUCAGCAAAUAGACAUCCAAAGCUAAGAGUCCUACCCAACAGAUUAUCAAAGCAAAG
rnacentral:misc_RNA from 1 species